rnacentral:rRNA from 1 species
GACGAACGCUGGCGGCGUGCUUAACACAUGCAAGUCGAACGGAAAGGCCCUGCUUUUGUGGGGUGCUCGAGUGGCGAACGGGUGAGUAACACGUGAGUAACCUGCCCCUGACUUUGGGAUAACUUCAGGAAACUGGGGCUAAUACCGGAUAGGAGCUCCUGCUGCAUGGUGGGGGUUGGAAAGUUUCGGCGGUUGGGGAUGGACUCGAGGCUUAUCCGCUUGUUGGUGGGGUAGUGGCUUACCAAGGCUUUGACGGGUAGCCGGCCUGAGAGGGUGAACAGCCACAUUGGGACUGAGGUAGGGCCCAGAAUCCUACGGGAGGCAGCAGUGGGAAAUAUGGCGCAAUGGGCGGAAGCCUGAGACGGCAACGCCGCGUGCGGAAAGACGGCCUACGGGUUGUAAACAGAUUUCGCCUGUGAUGAAGCGUGAGUGACGGUAAUGGGUAAAGAAGCACCGGCUAACUACGUG